AGGUCUCAUCCAAUCCGGUUUGGGAUGUUGGAUUUGGGAUUUCGAAAAAAUGGUCAAGAUCAGAGGUCUCACCUGAUCUGGUCUGGGAUGUUGGAUUCAAGAUUUUCAAUAUAUAUAUGAUACGGAUUAGAGGUCUCAUCCAAUCCGGUUUGGGAUGUUGGAUUUGGGAUUUCGAAAAAAUGGUCAAGAUCAGAGGUCUCACCUGAUCCGGUCUGGGAUGUUGGACUCAAGAUUUUGGAUAUAUAUAUGAUACUCAUUAGAGGUCUCGUCCAAUCCGGUUUGGGAUGUUGGAUUUGGGAUUUCGAAAAAAUGGUCAAGAUCAGAGGUCUCACCUGAUCUGGUCUGGGAUGUUGGACUCAAGAUUUUGAGAAACCAGCUAGAACAUAGAUCUCACCUUAUCAAAUGGAAUUUGGGGUUCCAUCCUAAGAUUUAAAAUAGAAGUCUGAUUUUAAAUGGUCUAGGACGUUGGAUUUUAAACUUAUAUAUAUGAUACGGAUUAGAGGUCUCAUCCAAUCCGGUUUGGGAUGUUGCAUUUCGGAUUUCGACCAAUGGUCAUGAUCAGAGGUCUCACCUGAUCUGGUCUGGGAUGUUCGAUUCAAGAUUUUCAAUAUAUAUAUGAUACGGAUUAGAGGUCUCAU